rnacentral:lncRNA from 1 species
AUCCACCAAGGAGAUUGAGAUGAGAUCCUCAAUCAGUUUUCUACAUUCCUCGAUGAGCUCAUCAUAGGUGUCGAGUCCUUCAACCGAGUAUGAUUCGGUAGGUCGAGCUUUUUGGAGGACAAUGUUUUAGCAAUGACACACCAAGUCUUGAUUUCCACGGACUUCUCCGACUCCGUGCACCAUUGAAAACUUCAUCUUCAGAUAGUAUGUGGAGACAACAGCUCAAAGUACAUUCAGGCCUG